AGCGAACGCUGGCGGCAGGCUUAACACAUGCAAGUCGAACGGGCACCUUCGGGUGUCAGUGGCAGACGGGUGAGUAACACGUGGGAACGUGCCCUCUGGUUCGGAACAACUCCGGGAAACUGGAGCUAAUACCGGAUAAGCCCUUCGGGGGAAAGAUUUAUCGCCAAAGGAUCGGCCCGCGUCUGAUUAGCUAGUUGGUGAGGUAAUGGCUCACCAAGGCGACGAUCAGUAGCUGGCUGAGAGGAUGAUCAGCCACACUGGGACUGAGACACGGCCCAGACUCCUACGGGAGGCAGCAGGUGGGGAAUAUUGGACAAUGGGCGAAAGCCUGAUCCAGCCAUGCCGNGUGAGUGAUGAAGGCCUUAGGGUUGUAAAGCUC
rnacentral:rRNA from 1 species